UACGUAGGUGGCAAGCGUUGUCCGGAUUUAUUGGGUUUAAAGGGUGCGUAGGCGGCUUUGUAAGUCAGUGGUGAAAUAUGGCAGCUUAACUGUCAGGGUGCCAUUGAUACUGCGGAGCUUGAGUACAGACGAGGUAGGCGGAAUUGACGGUGUAGCGGUGAAAUGCUUAGAUAUCGUCAAGAACACCUAUAGCGAAGGCAGCUUACUAGGCUGUAACUGACGCUGAGGCACGAAAGUGUGGGGAUCAAACAGG
rnacentral:rRNA from 1 species